rnacentral:tRNA from 1 species
UUUCUUUUAGCUUACAAUAAAGCAUUAGUUUGAAGAGCUAAAGACAACUUUUUGUUAAAGAGGG